AAUCGUCGCAAUGUAACAUCCCUAUUUUGAAAUUUAUCAAUAAGGAUUUAUAUGUAAAUUGGAGGAUCUAUAUGUAAAUAUAGAAAUUUUAAGGACUAAACUGUUAAGUUGCAAAAAGAAAAAAAAAUAAAGAAAACCAAAAAUUUCGGUUUUAUCUUUGAGAAACAGAGAGAGCAGCGGUGGGGCGUGGGGAGAAGAAGAAGAGAAGUUGAGGGAGAAGAGAAGAAAAGAAGAAGAAGAGGGAAAAGAAGAGAUUAGGAAGAAGAGGGGGAAGAGAAGAAAAGAAGAAGAAGAAGAAGAAGAGAGGGAAGAUGGAGAGGAGAUAGAGAGGGGCAGCAGCUGCAGCUAGGGCUGCAGUACCUUUUUUCCCGCAGGUGGAAACAGAGGAGAGGAUGUGUGGGGCGUUGGGGAGGAUAAGGGAAGAAGAAGAAGAAGAAGAAGAAGAGAGGAGGAUAGCUGUGGCAAGGCUGCAGCGAGGAGGUGUGUGGCGUUGGGGAGGAAAAAGGAAGAGGAGAAGAAGAGAAGGAGAAGAAGAGGGAAAAGAGACGGAAGAGGGAGAGGAGCGAGAGGUGGCAGCAGCUAGGGCUGCAGCACCUCUGUUUCCUGCAGGUGGAAACAGAGGAGAGGUGUGGGGCGUUCGAAGAGGAGAAGAAGAAGAAGAGGAAGAGAAGAGGAAGAGGAAGCAGGAGAAGAGGUUGUGAUACCUCUGUUUCCUGCAGAGGAAACAGAGGAGAGGGUGUGUGUGACGCCGAGGAGGAGGAGAGAAGAAGAAGAGGAGAAGAAGAAGAGAAGGGAAAAGAGGAGCUGCGGCUGCGGCGGUGGAAGCUGCAGCUGGAAGAGAAGGAGAGGAAGAGAUGGUAAGGAAGAAGAGAAGAAGUAGAAGCGGGUGAAGAGGCGGCACCUCUAUUUCCUGCAGGAGGAAACAGAGGAAAGGAGGUGUUGUUCAUCGGGGAGAAGAAGGGAAGGAAGCAGAAGAAGAGAAGAAGAAGAAAGGAAGGAGAAGGAAGAGGAGAAGGGAAAGAAGUAGCUGCGGCUGCGGCUGUGGCAGCUGCAGCUGUGGCAGGGAAAGAGGAAGAGGAAGGAAGAAGGGAAGGAGAGAAAGAAGAGAAGGGGAAGAAGGGGCUGCGGCUGCUGCGGCUGCUGCGAUGGCAGCUGCAGUUAGAAGAGAAAAAGGAGAGGAAGAAGAGAAGGGGAAGAAGGGGCUGCAGCUGCGGCGAUGGCAGCUGCAGUUGGAAGGGAAGAAGGGGCUGCGGCUGCGGCGAUGGCAGCUGCAGUUGGAAGAGAAGAAGGAGAGGAAGAUGAGCAGGGGAGGAAGAAGAGGCUGCAGUCGUGGCUAAGGCUGCGACUGCAGCAGUGCAGCUGGGAAAGAAGAGAAGGAAAGGAAGAAGAAGAGAAAGGAAAAGGGAAGAAGAGAGGAAGAGGAGAAGGGGAGGCAGCUGCGGCAGUGGCAGCUGCAGCUGGAAGAGAAGGAGAGGAAAUAGAGCUGGGGAGGAAGAAGAGGCUGCGGCUGUGGUGGCUGCGGCCAUGGCUGCGACUACGACUGCGGCAGUUGCAGUUGGGAAAGAAAAGAAAGGAAAGGGGGAAAAAGGGGCUGCGGACGGGAUUGCGGCCGCAGCGGCAGCGACUGCAUAUGCAACAGUUAUGUCUGCGAGAGAAGGGAGGAAGGAAGGUAGUGCAGUGGAAGGGGCUGCGAUUGUAGCAGCGGCAACGGCGGCGGCUGUGGCAACUGCGUUUGGGAAAGAAAAAGAAGGAAUGAGAGUAAGAGAGAGCAGGUGACUGUGCCUCGAUGUUCGACAUGUGGUAAAAGAAAGAAAACGAGUGCACAAAACGAAACAGGGAGGGGAUGGAGGAAAAGUAGAAAAAGGAUUCGAGCGUACACCUUCUUCGAAUCUUUGGAUCAAAACCUUCAAAAGGUCAGCUUGUCACUCUUUGAGAUGUUUGAAUUGGGCUGAGGCAGUGGAGAGCUAUUCUGAAUUAUGGGCAAGUCUUGUUGGGUAUUAUGUUAUUGUUGUAUAAGCAUAUUUUGUAUGUAAUGAAAUGUUGUCGAUGAACCGAAAUGGAUAUACCUUGUAAAAGUGUUAGAAGAUCUCUCUUAUUUGGAAUUUCAUAAUGUUAAGUCUAGUUUACGAUGAUAUGAACUUAUGGUAAAUAGUUGGAGUUUUAAUUGUAUAAAUUACUUAUCUUGUGGAUUUAUAAAUGUUG